rnacentral:rRNA from 1 species
GAUGCGAGCGUUAUCCGGAUUUAUUGGGUUUAAAGGGUGCGUAGGCGGGAUGCCAAGUCAGCGGUAAAAAUGCGGUGCUCAACGCCGUCGAGCCGUUGAAACUGGUUUUCUUGAGUGAGCGAGAAGUAUGCGGAAUGCGUGGUGUAGCGGUGAAAUGCAUAGAUAUCACGCAGAACUCCGAUUGCGAAGGCAGCAUACCGGCGCUCAACUGACGCUCAUGCACGAAAGUGUGGGUAUCGAAC